AAUAGUGAUAUUAAGCAAAACCCAAAAAGCAGUCUCAGUUCGGAUUGAAGGCUGAAAUUCGCCUUCAUGAAGCCGGAAUUGCUAGUAAUGGCAGGUCAGCAUACUGCCGUGAAUACGUUCCCGGGCCUUGUACACACCGCCCGUCACACCAUGAGAGUUGGGGAUACCCGAAGCCUGUGAGCUAACAGUAAUGAAGCAGCAGUCGAAGGUAGAAUCAAUGAUUGGGGUGAAGUCGUAACAAGGUACC
rnacentral:rRNA from 1 species